UACAGAGGUCUCAAGCGUUGUUCGGAUUCAUUGGGCGUAAAGGGUGCGUAGGCGGCAGGGUAAGUCUGAUGUGAAAUCCCGGGGCUCAACCCCGGAACUGCAUUGGAUACUGCCUUGCUUGAGUACUGGAGAGGAGAUUGGAAUUUACGGUGUAGCAGUGAAAUGCGUAGAUAUCGUAAGGAAGACCAGUGGCGAAGGCGAAUCUCUGGACAGUUACUGACGCUGAGGCACGAAGGCCAGGGGAGCAAACGGG
rnacentral:rRNA from 1 species